rnacentral:tRNA from 1 species
AAAAUUUUAAGUUAAAAAAACUUUAAACCUUCAAAGUUUAAUAUAUAUAUAUAUAUAUAUAUAAAUUUUA